rnacentral:misc_RNA from 1 species
UUAUUAUUAUUAUUUUGGUUUCUUUAUGUUGUUCAUUCCUCAAAUAUAAACAUUAUUUAACCUAAUAUUUUUUUUCCAGUCCCUAAGUAUGCAGAAAUACCAAAAUUCCUUUGGUUGAAAGUGAGAAGUGCUAAAAUUAAUUUUUUUUUGUCAUUUUGUAUUUUGGCCUUGCACCAAAAACUGCAGCUUAAGAAGAAUGCAUGGAAAAAUUUUUGUGAAUGGAAGCUUUAAUGAGGAUCUUUGGCUAAUGAUUACCUAAGUCUAUAUAAAUUUAGAAAAGAAAAAAAUGCAAGGCAUAUGAGUGAUAGUAUUCCGAGUUCUGACCUUCUAAAACAUGUGCAUCUUAAUGUGAUGGUCUGUUAUCUGAUUUUCAAUUUUGUGCUUUUUUAGUUCAUAAAUUUUUUUAAGUUGAAUUAAACCUCUGUUCAUUGAUUAACAGUAAGUUUCCAUUUGGUCACAAAUCUUUAUUUUGUAUCAAUUUGGUCAACAAACAUUAAUUCUGUCUCAGUUGAACCAGUGUCUCUAGAAUCUGGUGAGAGGCUUGCCGGAAAAGCUGAUGUGGCUACCAAUUUAUCACCUUCCUUUUUUAGCUCUCCAGGGACGCCCCAGAAAGGCUAA